AUUGAACGCUGGCGGCCGGCCUAACACAUGCACGUCGAGCGAGCGGCGGACGGGUGAGUAAUGUCUGGGAAACUGCCUGAUGGAGGGGGAUAACUACUGGAAACGGUAGCUAAUACCGCAUACCAUCAGAUGUGCCCAGAUGGAAUUAGCUGGUCGGUGGGGUAACGGCUCACCUAGGCGACGAUCCCUAGCUGGUCUGAGAGGCUGACCAGCCACACGGGAACUGAGACAAGGUCCAGACUCCUACGGGAGGCAGCUGUGGGGAAUAUUGCACAAUGGGCGCAAGCCUGAUGCAGCCAUGCCGCGUGUGUGAAGAGGGCCGUCGGGUGGUAAAGCACUUUCAGCGGGGGGGCGUUACCCGCAGAAGAAGCACCGGCUAACUCCGUGCCAGCAGCCGCGGUAAGUC
rnacentral:rRNA from 1 species